GUGCUGCUUCGGCAGCACAUAUACUAAAAAAUUGGAACGAUAGAGAGAAGAUUAGCCUUGUGCAGGGGCCACCCUGCGCAAGGAUGACAUGCAAAUUCGUGAAGUGUUAAAAAAAUAA
rfam:Canis lupus familiaris chromosome 18, whole genome shotgun sequence.